rnacentral:lncRNA from 1 species
CUCCACUCACUUCAUCUGGUUCAAACCAAUAGCUAAUAUGCUCGUAAUAUCAAUGUCGUAUGCACAUUUUAACUAAUUGCCUGUAUUCUCCCUUCCUUCUUCCUCUCUUCAGAUGCAGCUCAAUCGAUCGAGGCACCAUGGAUAUGGAUAACCUUGGAAGCGCUCUCGAAAAAAUAAGCGUAAGUCAGAGAUGUCGAUCGAUGCAUACCUUAAAACAAAAUGCAAAUCCUGUCUUUCCAUGGACUACCUUGGUUCCUCCAGAUCCCUCCCAAGCCCUAGCUAUUUGUUUGUUAUAAUCCAGUAUAAUCUUCCAUGUCAUACUUGUAUCCUCUAAAAUUCUCAAGGUUUGUUUUACGAGAAUUCAAAGUCUCAAGUUUGUUUGUUGUUACCGAACUAUAUACUAGGUGAAUCACAUUCGAGUGUAUUUAU